AACAGCAGACGCCAUCAGAUGAAAGUCCCACCCUUCAGUUGGACUUCUCCUACUACUCCUAUGAGUACGAGGCAGACCCCUACACUUCUGAAGGAGACGCUUUUGAACUGACAACGGCAAGUGGCACAGAGGCCCAAGAUAACGGCAGAUACCAGGGAGCUGCUGUGAUCCCCCGGAAGUGAAUGAAAGCUCGCUCCUUUCAGCCUUAACAGAACCAACUCCACAAGGGAUCCAGGCCAUUUUAUUGUUCUGUGUCUUGCUGCCAAAGGAAGAUGGAACUUUGUCUUGCCCUUCCCAUGGCUCUCACAGCAGCCUCCUUGCCACUUUCCCACUUGUGUUGCACAAGCUAUGUAGGGCAAGCUGGAAUCCAGGCCCUCUUUCAGAGUUGCUCGUCCAUCGUACAAGUUGCCUUCUAGUUGUGAGUGGAGAAAGGAUGGCACCGUUGAUUUCCAUGACCCAGGCAACUCCAUCGCAACCAAAGCACAAGAGCUCCAGGUCAUUUGUUUUGUGCCUCAUAUUACUGCACCCCUUUGU